GAUGAACGCUGGCGGCGUGCCUAAUACAUGCCAGUCGAGCGAACGGACGAGAAGCUUGCUUCUCUGAUGUUUGCGGCGGACGGGUGAGUAACACGUGGAUAACCUACCUAUAAGACUGGGAUAACUUCGGGAAACCGUAGCUAAUACCGGAUAAUAUUUUGAACCGCAUGGUUCAAAAGUGAAAGACGGUCUUGCUGUCACUUAUAGAUGGAUCCGCGCUGCAUUAGCUAGUUGGUAAGGUAACGGCUUACCAAGGCAACGAUGCAUAGCCGACCUGAGAGGGUGAUCGGCCACACUGGAACUGAGACACGGUCCAGACUCCUACGGGAGGCAGCAGUAGGGAAUCUUCCGCAAUGGGCGAAAGCCUGACGGAGCAACGCCGCGUGAGUGAUGAAGGUCUUCGGAUCGUAAAACUCUGUUAUUAGGGAAGAACAUAUGUGUAAGUAACUGUGCACAUCUUGACGGUACCUAAUCAGAAAGCCACGGCUAACUACGUG
rnacentral:rRNA from 1 species